GACGAACGCUGGCGGCGUGCUUAACACAUGCAAGUGGAGCGACGAACCAGGCUUCGGCCUGGGGCAAAGCCGCGAACGGGUGAGUAUCACGUGGGUAACCUGCCCCGAUGACCGGGACAACCCGAGGAAACUCGGGCUAAUACCGGAUGUGCUCGCGACCCUCAAGGGUCAUGAGUAAAGGAAGCUUCGGCCUCCGCAUUGGGUUGGGCCCGCGGCCCAUUAGCUUGUUGGUGAGGUAAAGGCUCACCAAGGCCACGAUGGGUAGCUGGUCUGAGAGGACGACCAGCCACACUGGGACUGAGAUACGGCCCAGACUCCUACGGGAGGCAGCAGUGAGGAAUAUUGCGCAAUGGCCGAAAGGCUGACGCAGCAACGCCGCGUGGAUGAUGAAGCACUUUUGUGUGUAAAAUCCUGUUGAGAGGGAAGAAACACCGACCAUCCGGUUGGUUUGACGGUACCUCUAAAGAAAGCUCCGGCCAACUCCGUGCCAGCAGCCGCCGUAACAC
rnacentral:rRNA from 1 species